CAGUAGCCGGGUAAUACGAAGGGGGCUAGCGUUGUUCGGAAUUACUGGGCGUAAAGGGCGCGUAGGCGGCCAUUCAAGUUAGAUGUGAAAGCCCUGGGCUCAACCUAGGAAUUGCAUUUGAUACUGUUUGGCUUGAGUUCGGGAGAGGUGAGUGGAAUUCCCAGUGUAGAGGUGAAAUUCGUAGAUAUUGGGAAGAACACCGGUGGCGAAGGCGGCGACCUGGUCCUUUACUGACGCUGAGGCGCGAAAGCGUGGGGAGCAAGCAGGAUUAGAUACCCCGGUAGUCCCUGUCUCUUAUACA
rnacentral:rRNA from 1 species